GACGAACCACACGAACGUUAUUCGGAAUUACUGGGCUUAAAGGGUGCGUAGGCUGCGCGGAAAGUUGGGUGUGAAAUCCCUCGGCUCAACCGAGGAACUGCGCCCAAAACUACCGUGCUCGAGGAAGAUAGAGGUGAGCGGAACUUACGGUGGAGCGGUGAAAUGCGUUGAUAUCGUAAGGAACACCCGUGGCGAAAGCGGCGAGCUGGUCCAUUACUGACGCUGAGGCGCGACAGCGUGGGGAGCAAACAGG
rnacentral:rRNA from 1 species